rnacentral:rRNA from 1 species
AUCACCCUGGCGGAAUGCUUUACACCUGCACUCGAACGGCAGCACGGACUUCGGCUCUGGUGGCGAGUGGCGAACGGGUGAGUAAUAUAUCGGAACGUGCCCAGAUCGCUGGGGGAUAACGUAGUGAAAAUUACGCUAAUACCGCAUACGAUCUACGGAUGAAAGCGGGGGAUCGCAAGAUCUCGCGCGAUUGGAGCGGCCGAUAUCAGAUUAGGUAGUUGGUGAGGUAAAGGCUCACCAAGCCAACGAUCUGUAGCUGGUCUCGAGAGGACGACCAGCCACACUGGAACUGAGACACGGUCCAGACUCCUACGUGGAGUGCACGCAGUGGGGAAUUUUGGACAAUGGACGCAAGUCUGAUCCAGCCAUUCCGCGUGCAGGACGAAGGCCUUACGGGUUGUAAACUGCUCUUGUACAGAACGAAAAGGUUUCUAUUAAUACUAGAGAGCUCAUGACGGUACUGUAAGAAUAAGCACCGGCUAACUACGUGCCAGACACCCGCGGUAAUACGUAGGGUGCAAGCAGUUAACUCAGGAAUUACUGGGCGUACAGCGUGCGCCAGGCGGCUUAUGAUAAGACAGAGGGUGAAAAUCCCACGGGCUCAACCUGGAGGAAACAUUGACCUUUAGUGACUUGCCUACCAUUGGAGCUACAGCGCAAACAGAGGGGGAUGGAAAUUCCGGCAGAUGUUAACCAAGCUGAAAAUGCGUAGACUAUGCGCGGCAGGAACAACCGCAUUGGCGAACGGGCAACUCACCUGAGGCCCUGCUACCUACCGCUCCAU